GACGAACCGAGCGAACGUUGUUCGGAAUCACUGGGCUUAAAGGGCGCGUAGGCGGGCCAUCAAGUCAGGGGUGAAAGCCCCCGGCUCAACCGGGGAAGUGCCUCUGAUACUGGUGGUCUCGAGGGAGAUAGGGGCGUGCGGAACUUCCGGUGGAGCGGUGAAAUGCGUAGAUAUCGGAAGGAACACCGGUGGCGAAAGCGGCGCGCUGGAUCUCUUCUGACGCUGAGGCGCGAAAGCCAGGGGAGCGAACGGG
rnacentral:rRNA from 1 species